rnacentral:rRNA from 1 species
AUUGAACGCUGGCGGCAGGCUUAACACAUGCAAGUCGAGCGAGCGGCGGACGGGUGAGUAAUGUCUGGGCAACUGCUUGAUGGAGGGGGAUAACUACUGGAAACGGUAGCUAAUACCGCAUACCAUCAGAUGUGCCCAGAUGGGAUUAGCUAGUUGGUGGGGUAAUGGCUCACCUAGGCGACGAUCCCUAGCUGGUCUGAGAGGAUGACCAGCCACACUGGAACUGAGACACGGUCCAGACUCCUACGGGAGGAAGCAGGGGGGAAUAGUGCACAAUGGGCGAAAGCCUGAUGCAGCCAUGCCGCGUGUGGGAAGAAGGCCGUCGGGUUGUAAAGCACUUUCAGCUAGGAGGCGUUACUCGCAGAAGAAGCACCGGCUAACUCCGUGCCAGCAGCCGCGGUAAUAC